AAAAAAAUGAUUCUGAGUGCAUGUAAAUGUUACGUAGUUAAAAUGUGUAAUAUUAACAAUAAAAUGUUACGUUUAUAUCUUUACAUAAUAUAUCUGGUUUUGAAUUUAUCUUCAUUUGUUCAAAACACAAGACAAUGUGCAUAUUUUUACCUUACAAAAUGAAUCUAAGUAAUCUCAACCAAUCUUUUGAGGCACAUGCACUCAACAAACAAUACCUUGUUUAAUUUACUCAGUGCAAAAAAUUACUCCCCUUCCUGUUUUUUGGUCUGGAAACCCCUUGCAUUUCAAACGAAGAGGAAGCCUACACGUGGAGACUGAACUCAAGAGCGCUCAUUGGGGUUUUUCAGCCGUCAAUCAUCUCGUGAACAUAGUCCCGCCUUCAGAAUAACGCGGUUCGCUGCACGCUUCCCCAUCGGAGCUCCGAGGGAAAACAAACCCAAAGUAGGCUAACAAUUAAACCGAAACUGAAGAAAAUUUGCUUACUGAUGAGCAGGUCAACUAAUUGCAGUGUUGUGGAGAGAGUAAAAUGUUAAACUAUUUUUAAUUAGGCUAUAGUUGUAGUUACAAUUUUUUGCCAUGUUUUUGGUUUCUUGCAUUGGUCAGUUAACUAUAACACUGUGUCCUUACCAGGUGAUCCUCCUGACAAGUAGGCUACACUGGAUAAAGUUUUGUGAUGACAACGAUUCUGCAGCCAUCCAAGAGGAAAUCACUUCAUUUGUACUCAACAUGUUCGUGGUCACCAAAACCAGGGAUGGAGGUCUCGAGAAGCAAGCUGGAAUAGCCAUCAAGGGAGAAGAGGUCCUUUUUGGAAUUCCCAGUGUAGCACAUGCUUGCACCUAUAGCUUAUGGGCAUUAUUUAUCCAAAUAAACUAAAAUACACCUUUGGAGGAUGUUAACAAAAACAUGCCCUCCAAAAUCCAGCUUAUGGCCUAAAAGUAUGACAGACGUUGUUGUUUAUAACUCUGUUUGGACUUUUUGGGACUUUGGCUUAUUCACCAUAUCCCCCAGAGUUAAAUAAGUCCACACAUACCCUUCUCAUCUCUGUGCAUGCCGUAACAGUCAGACGCACCCACUG